rnacentral:misc_RNA from 1 species
GUUUAGCACAGUUGCCUUUUAUAUUACUUUUGCAGUUCAAUUUGAAUAUGCAGUUUUCUGUAAUCUAGAAUAAAUGGAAAUUUUGACCAACUAAUAAAUAAAAUUUGCAAUGUCUUUGAAAUCUCACUUGACAAGGGUUUUGGUAAAAUAUGCGUAAUUGAUGCAGGUGAUUGAAAUAGGAAAAGGAAGCAAGGUUAAAUAUGAACUUGACAAAA